GACGAACGCUGGCGGCGUGCCUAAUACAUGCAAGUCGAGCGAGCGGAACUAACAGAUUUACUUCGGUAAUGACGUUAGGAAAGCGAGCGGCGGAUGGGUGAGUAACACGUGGGGAACCUGCCCCAUAGUCUGGGAUACCACUUGGAAACAGGUGCUAAUACCGGAUAAGAAAGCAGAUCGCAUGAUCAGCUUUUAAAAGGCGGCCUAAGCUGUCGCUAUGGGAUGGCCCCGCGGUGCAUUAGCUAGUUGGUAAGGUAAAGGCUUACCAAGGCGAUGAUGCAUAGCCGAGUUGAGAGACUGAUCGGCCACAUUGGGACUGAGACACGGCCCAAACUCCUACGGGAGGCAGCAGUAGGGAAUCUUCCACAAUGGACGCAAGUCUGAUGGAGCAACGCCGCGUGAGUGAAGAAGGUUUUCGGAUCGAAAAGCUCUGUUGUUGGUGAAGAAGGAUAGAGGCAGUAACUGGCCUUUAUUUGACGGUAAUCAACCAGAAAGUCACGGCUAACUACGUGCCAGCAUCCGCGGUAAUACGUAGGUGGCAAGCGUUGUCCGGAUUUAUUGGGCGUAAAGCGAGCGCAGGCGGAAGAAUAAGUCUGAUGUGAAAGCCCUCGGCUUAACCGAGGAACUGCAUCGGAAACUGUUUUUCUUGAGUGCAGAAGAGGAGAGUGGAACUCCAUGUGUAGCGGUGGAAUGCGUAGAUAUAUGGAAGAACACCAGUGGCGAAGGCGGCUCUCUGGUCUGCAACUGACGCUGAGGCUCGAAAGCAUGGGUAGCGAACAGGAUUAGAUACCCUGGUAGUCCAUGCCGUAAACGAUGAGUGCUAAGUGUUGGGAGGUUUCCGCCUCUCAGUGCUGCAGCUAACGCAUUAAGCACUCCGCCUGGGGAGUACGACCGCAAGGUUGAAACUCAAAGGAAUUGACGGGGGCCCGCACAAGCGGUGGAGCAUGUGGUUUAAUUCGAAGCAACGCGAAGAACCUUACCAGGUCUUGACAUCUAGUGCCAUUUGUAGAGAUACAAAGUUCCCUUCGGGGACGCUAAGACAGGUGGUGCAUGGCUGUCGUCAGCUCGUGUCGUGAGAUGUUGGGUUAAGUCCCGCAACGAGCGCAACCCUUGUUAUUAGUUGCCAGCAUUAAGUUGGGCACUCUAAUGAGACUGCCGGUGACAAACCGGAGGAAGGUGGGGAUGACGUCAAGUCAUCAUGCCCCUUAUGACCUGGGCUACACACGUGCUACAAUGGGCAGUACAACGAGAAGCGAGCCUGCGAAGGCAAGCGAAUCUCUGAAAGCUGUUUUCAGUUCGGACUGCAGUCUGCAACUCGACUGCACGAAGCUGGAAUCGCUAGUAAUCGCGGAUCAGCACGCCGCGGUGAAUACGUUCCCGGGCCU
rnacentral:rRNA from 1 species